GCUUCCGGGACGCGCCUGUGGCGACCCAGCUGCCGAAGGUUUGUGCGGCUCCGCGCGGCCUCGCUGAGGAGCUCGGCCUCGCUGACAGAGCGGGCGGCGACUCCGCGGGACCGCAGCGCGCUGCAGCAGCCCCGCACCCUGGCCAGGCUUUUAGUGCAUCCAAGAUCCUGAGCUGCCAGGGGCCUGGCCACUCCUGCUCUGAGCCCUGCCUUGGCUGAGCUGGUCACUGCUGUGUGUCCCGGGCUGCUGGCCUGCCUGUCGAUCUGCAGUGUACAGGAGAUGAUGGCUGUGUGAGUGCCUGCCAUGGCCCACCAAAAGUGUGAGAGCGCGAGGAGCGGCAUGUUGGACCCUGGAGGGAGGCUGGGCCCUGUUCCCCAUGGCCAGGAGCAAAGACGAGGAGCUGCCCUUAGAGGACUGUGUGCCCGAGGGCCUGGAACUGGCUGCCCUAUGGCCAGAGAGCCCCAUGCCCGAGGAGUAGGAGUGCCACAACCAGAGCGCCGAUGGGGACUCCCACUAUGUGAACAACACCUCCAAGGAGGAGGACUACGACGAGGGCCUCCCCGAGGAGGAGGAGGGCAUUACCUACUACAUCUGCUACUGCUCCGAGGACGACAGCUACCUGGAGGGUAGGGACUGCAAUGGGGAGGAGUACCUGGCCCAUGGCACAUACCCUGUCAACACUGACAUGUGCCAGGAGCAUCCACACUACAUGCCUCCUAUCUGGACCGACCAGUGAAGAGCUCAGCCACCAUUAGAACUGCAAGGCACCCAGCCCCUCCCACCACCUGGCUUCAUCAUCUACAGGGGCUGUACCAGGAGGUCCCUUGCUCUCAGGCUCCUCUGCUACCUUCUUUGGAACAGGAGAGUCUUACUCUGGGACAGGAGAGGAGUGGCUGGACUUGGCGGGCCUGCACCCCCAUAGCCACUGUGCUGAGAGCAGCCAGGACUACCUGGACGGCCACCUGCCCAUCCUGGAGGACGAGCCCUCUGUCCUGGAGGCCCACGACCAGGAAUAAGAGGGCCACUACUGUCCCAGCAAAGAGGACUACCAGGGUUGCUACCCCACAGAAACCAACGGGAACACCGGCGCCUCCCCCUACCACAUGAGGCAUGGGGACGGGGACCUGGAGGACCAGGAGGAGGACGUUGACCCUAUUGUGGUCGAGAUCAAGAGGAGCCUGAGCAUGACCAGCAUCACUAGCGCCAGUGAGGCCAGCCCUGAGCAUGGGCCUGAGCCGGGACCUGGGGACUCUGAAGAGGCCUUCGUGCCCAGCAAGGCCAGCUGCAGCCCCAGCAGGCACGAAGCGAAACCCAAGUCACUGAACCUCCCUCUUGAGGCCAAGCACUGUGAAGACCCCCAGAGAGGCAUCAAGCCCAAGACUAGGACCCCAGAGGAGAGGCCGAAGUGGUCCCACGAGCAGGCUCUUAGUGCUUCCAAGAUCCUGAGCUGCCAGGGGCCUGGCCACUCCUGCCCCGAGCCCUGCCUUGGCUGAGCUGGUCACUGUUGCGUGUACCAGGCUGCCGGCCUGCCUGUCAUCUGCAGUGCACAGAUGUCUCUGCCUGUGCCGUGUGGAGUACUCGUGUCCGGAUCGCGUGGGAGGCUUGCCCCUCUGCUCCAACAGCUGCUUCCUGGAGGAAACUGGCCUGUUUGCCACCUCUCCUGAUGCCCAGAGUGGUGGCUGGUGCAGGAAGUCCCACUUACCUCCCUCAGUGUCUGCCCUUCCCCAAGGGACAUUUUGUCUCAGUUCUGACAUCUCCCCAGCUAGAAGAGAGACCCUCAAAGGUGUGCAGGAGAAAUGGGAGUCGGAGACACAUGAGUCCUUUGCAGUCCUCUUGUCUGCCUCUGAAGGUGAAAUGAGAGUGUGAAGCACUUUGGGAGGUGGCCAGGCACACAGCUAGGCUUGGUGCAGAGCAGAGCUCUGAUGCUGUGGCCCCAGUCAUCAUGAGCCAUGUCUGAAAGAAUUAAUCACAUUUCAUAUGCAAGCAUGCUCUCUGUUUGACUGUGCUGUUGUUUUUAGUGAGAGCAUCAUUGACAAUGCUUUAACCUGAUAGCCCUGCCUAAUUGUGUUCUAUGUAAUAAUGCGUGGGCUUGAGGAGGAGGCAGGGUUGGGGGAGAAGGAGAGCGAAUGGACGUGUGAAUUGGGAAAAGGUGUCUCUUCCUUUGGAGCAUGGAUGGGUUCAGAGCCCUCCUCAUACCAGUAAGUAUUUGGCUGGACACUACCAGUUGUGUGUCUAGACUUGUGUGUGUGUGCGCGCGCGCGCGUCCAUGUGUCCAGGGUUGAGCAGCACCUCCUUUUGUGUGUGUGUGUGUGUGUGUGUGUGUGUGUGUGUGCGUGCGCGCGCGCGUGCAUGUGUCCAGGGUUGAGCAGCACCUCCUUUUGUGUGUGUGUGUGUGUGUGUGUGUGUGUGUCUGUCUGUCUCCAGGACUGAGCAGCACCUCCUUCUUCCUGUGGUAGCAUGUUACUCAGAACCUUGGAUAACCCCCAGCCCUCCUAGAAAAACAAUACAUGUAUGUUAUAAGAAAUUUAUCUUGAUGAUUGGUGAGAGGAUGGUUUGAAACCAGCUCAUUUCCCAUUUACCACUGAGUCCAGCUCACCUUUGCUGAAGAGGGUUCUUGACUCUUACUUUGUAGCAGGAACUCCUAAGUUAAUUAAGCCUUUUCAAGAGUUCAGGCGAAAAGUCAGGAUCUCUCAGGUAAAACCCAAUGUUAAAAUUUUAACUGGGCAAAUUCUCAUUAAAGACAGUGGGCCACAGACUGUGCCGAUGAAAUCUAAUGUCUUUUAAUGUUGACUUCAAUCCAGUAAAGCCCUUGUUAAGCCAUUUAACUAUAAAAUUGGGCCUUGGGGAGGCAGUGCACCCUCUGAAAUUUGAGGUCAGGAGAUUUGGAUUUGAUUUCCAUCCCUCUGUCAGUCAGUCAGCCACUCACUUUCAAGUGACAAGCCUUAGGCGAGUCACUUUCUGUCUCUGUUUCUCGAUUUUUGCACAGUGAUUUAUAUGGGCCUUAAGGCCCACUGGGAAACGAUCCCUUUUUCAGCUCAGUGCCUGGUUUGUUGAGUAUACUUGUCAAUCUGAACUUUAAUACACCUAUGAUUUUGGAUUAACUCUAUUACCUCUGCUAGAAAUUAACACAGAAGAUUCACAGUUGAUUGACAAGAAUAAGAAUCAGUUCUAAAGAAUUAAAAUACAACCAAAUUCUUUAUUACUAAAAGAAUGCUCAACUCAAGUGGACACACAUCACUCAUUCUAACUUCAUCAGAGACAACUUUUUCAAAAUACACAGCUAAAUGUACAUAAUGUGUAUAUAAUGUACAUUUAUAUGUACAUAUGUAUUGUGUACACAUGUACAUCACAAUGAAUGUACAUAUUGUACCUACUGUAUACAUUUGUUAUAAUAUCCCAAUAAAUGUACACAUUAUGACUGUUCUGGGAUAUUGUUUUUAGUAUAUUAGAUAAAAAUUACUGCUAGUAUCAAAGUGUAUAUACACCCAUGUGUGUACAUUUUGUGAUAUUAUCCAUCAUAUCCUAAGUAGGUAUUACUCUCAUUGUGAAAGCAAGUGUACACCCUGUGAUUGUUCCAAUAUCACAGGUGGUGUACAACGCUUCUGUGAUAUAGUUCCUAAUAUCCGGGAGACAGAGGAUGAUUAUACCCUGAAUAUCGCAGGAAGUGUACGCCACCAGUGUAAUAUUGUUUCGAAUAUCCAAAAACGGAGAGGAUAUUACUUCAAAUAUCUCAAGAAGCGCACAAACCCCCAGUGAUAUUGUUCCUAAUGACCAAGGGGUUACAGAUGACAUUACUUAUGAUGUGACUGGGGCUGUACACCUGCCCUGUGAUAUUGUUCCUAAUAUCCAGGGAAGGAGAGGAUGAUGUUACUGCCCAUGUGGUAAUUCAGUAUGGCAAGAGGUGUACACUACGCUCUGAUAUUGUAACUAAGGUCCACAAAAUAAUAAUUACGCUGAAUUAAAUAUUGCAAGGGGUGAAACCCCCCCUCCCCGAUUUCAAUUCUAAUGUCAAGGGCAGGAUGAGGAUGAUAUUUUUGUCAAUAUCGCAGUGGUGGAACUAGAACUAGUGUUGUUGUGCCUAAUAUCAACAAAGAAACACAAUAACAUUUUCUCCCUAUGAUAUGGUUCCCAAUAUCAUAUUACUCCAGAUUUUCUAAAUAGCCACUGUGGGCACAGCCCCCUAGCCAGAGAGUUUGUAGCAGCUGGGGAGGGGCCAGGGUGCUGCUACUCACCCUCUGGCGGGGGCUGUGGGCAUAGCGCUCAUUAUGUACAUCUGUACAUAAUGUGCACACGUGUAUACAUUGUACAUCUCUACAUAAUGUGCACAUAUGUACAUAUGUACUCUGUCUCAGAAACAUAAAACAGCAAGAAGGAAAUACAGAGAUCUGGGCCUUUGUUUCCAGAACAGACGGACCUGGGCUGGGCACAGAGUCUCAGAGCAUUAGGAGACAGGCCACAGAUCCCUCAUCGACUGGAUUAUUGGAAGAGCAAAAGCCAGUUAAUCAACUGCAGGACUUUUCUAGGUCUGGGCUCCCCGCUGUACCAUGCAGUGUCUCUUCUGGGUGGGUAAGAUAAAAGGUGAUUGGCACAAUCCUAGUGGCCUGACGGGUGGCAAGUUUCCCACCCAUUCACAGACAGCUGCAGUGAGUUUCUGGCCCAGAAUAGAGGAGGAAGCAUGCCUCUCAUCAAGACAGCCUCAGUGAUUGAAAGGGGAGAAAGAAGAAAAGCCUGAGAGUAAAUGAAUCUGAAGCUGAACAACAGACUACCUGACUCCAUUGUUGAACUCCUUUCACCCAGCGGCCGCUUCAGUGCUGCAGAAAGACUGUCUUGCCUUUUCUCACUCCUGCUGGCUGAGAAAGCACAGGAGCCCCACAGAACCUGCACAUUGAACUAAAUUACUUUCAGCAGAAAAAACUUCAUCAGUGAAGCACUCAUGCAUCCCAGACAUAUUUUAAGGGCAGAUCGGUGACGAUCUCUCCUUUAACUCCUGGGCCUCUUCCUGCUUCAGCUGCAGGCAGACCUGGGUUGUGGCUUUGUUGGUUCCUCACUGGGUGGCCCUGUGAUCUGGAUUAAAUGACUUGUGGCUUGUUGAGAAGCAAGUUACUUCAUCUCUGCAAGCCUCAGUUUUCUCAGCUGUACUUUAGGGAUAGAAUAUUUUUCAGGAUUAUUGCUUUAUACAUGUCAUUAAAUAAAAGCAUAUUAUUAAAUAAAAAUUAAAUGCAUCUAUUCAAUUAAUAUUAAAUAUAUUACUGGAUAGCAAUAAUGUUUCUGAGGCACUUAGCUGAGGGCUAGCAUAUCAUAAGAGCUCCAUGAAUGUUAAAUGGUCUUUUUAUUAUUAAAUAUUAUCGUUACCCUUGGCAUGGCUGUAGGUGAAGAUAUUAUUGAAUAUCUACCUAAUAAUGUUGGUCUGAAGUGGCAGUGCUCUUAAGGAUAGUUCCUGUAUUGAACUUACAGUGUUUUACAUUAACUCUUAGAAGCUCAACAAGUAGGCUGGGCAUGGUGGCUCAUACCUGUAAUCCCAGCAUUUUGGGAGGCUGAGGUGUGUGGAUCACUUGAGGUCAAAGUUUGAGAUCAGCCUGGCCAUCAUGGCAAAACCUCGUCUCUACUAAAAACACAAAAAUUAGCCAGGCAUGGUGGUGCAUUCCUGUCAUACCAGCUACUCAGGAGGCUGAGGCAGGAGAAUCACUUGGACCCCAGAGGUGGAGGUUGCAGUGAGCCAAUAUGGUGCCACUGCACUCCAGCCUGGGUGACAGAGCAACACUUCAUCUCAAAAAAAACAAAAAAACAACAAAAAAAAACUGAAUAAGUGAAAUUUGUUUUUAAUAAGGAAUGAACAAGUUCUUUGUUAUUUUUACAGAUGAGGUCUCUCUCUGUUGCACAGGCUGGACUUGAACUCCUGGCUUCAAGUAAUCUUCCCAUCUCAGUCCCCUGUGUAGCUGGGGCUACACAGCUGAAGUUUUGUUUUUUUUUUUAAUUCAAACAAUAUCAUUUGUGUUACAGUUACUGUAGGGAAAGUGAACUUUAUAAAUUAGGGGAAACUGCUUCUGAAAUAAAAAAUACAUUGUUAUCCUUUUAUAGUUUUACAUUGGUGAAAAGAAUAUGUCUUUGUAUAACCCACUGUUAUUUCAAAUGUUCUGGCUUCCUGCCUUUUUCUUGUUCUAUAUUACUGUCUGUGUUAGAAGAUAAUAAACAGUAUGUGUCCUCCCCAGCUUGAAUCUGGUAUCCACUGUGGGAAGCUCCUGGCUUUGCUUCAUGUUCAAAAACAUGAUUUUUGAGGAGGUUUAUGCAUAUUAAAAGAUGGGACUUACCUCAACUGGAACAACUUUUCAUUUUUUGCUGCCUGAGCAGAUAAAGAUGAAAGAGCAGGAAAAUCAGAGUUGUAGGUCAUAAGAAUUCCAAAUGAUGGUUUGCUUUGGGGCUUAGGCCUGGGUCAUUUAUUUUCUCUUUUACUGUCAGCUUGCUAAGGGAUCUCAUCCUGUCUGCUGGUUUUGAAUGCCAUUAACUUGCUGAUGGUUCUCAGAUUUGUAUCAGCAGCCCAGACCUCCCCUGAGAGGUCAGUCUUGUUCACUCAGCUGUCUACUUGACAUCUCCACUUGGCUGUCUCAGAGGUGAUCCAAAUGUCAUACAUCAAAACCACACUCCUGAUUAUAGCCCCAACCUUCAUGAAGCCUGCUCUUUUCCAGCUCAGUAACUAGUCUUGAAGAAUUGCCUUUGUCUCUAGUUCUUGGGAGGGAAUCACUGAAUCAUUGGGAUUUUCCAAGUAAUAGGAGUGUUUUUGUCAUUCAUGGUGGGCCCCUCAGAUCACCUCUGAGUUUCUGAUAAUGAGAUGACUCAGGACAGAGGCCUACCAUGACAUAACGACCAACUGUGUGAUUAUAGGAUUGGGGCUUUGGCUGGGUGGUAUCAACCUGAACUAUGGAGAAGGGAAGGGGACUGGAAGUUGAGUUCAGUUUUCUGGGCCAUGAUUCAGUCACUCAUGCCUACACAAUGAAACGCUAGUAAAAACUCUCUAGUGAGCUUCCCUGAUUAAUGAUACACAUUGAUGUGCCAGGAGGGUGGUAGGUUAAUCUACUGGACAGCCCAGGUUGAGAACAAGGCCAGACACAACCAGCUCUUACUGUCUCUAGGCCUUUGUCUUUCCUGCCUGCUCACUUGGAAUUCUAUUCCCAGCUCCUGAGAUUGCCAGGCCUCAGCUCAGGUAUCCCUUCCUCAGAGUAGUCUGCUCUGAUGCUCCUAUAUAAAGCGACCACUCCUGUCUCCCUUUCUUAUUACUGUACUCACUUUGUAAGACUUAUUUCAGUGUGCAAGUAUCUUUAUUUAGGUUUACUUGUGUUUGCUUCCCCGAGUAGAAUGUGAGUGCCGUGAGGGUAGGAGCCUUGUGUCAGUGCCUAACCUUAUGUGAGGCAUAUCUAGACCCAGUAAGUACUUCUAAAGUGUGUUUUUUGUUGUUUUUUGAGAUGGAGUCUUGCUGUAUUGCAGGCUGGAGUGCAGUGGUGUGAUCUCGGCUCACUGCAACCUCUGCCUCCCAGUUUCAAACAAUUCUCCUGCCUCAGCCUCCCAAAUAGCUGGGACUAUAGGCAUGCAAGAUAGGGUUUCACCAUGUUGGCCAGGAUGGUUUUGAUCUCUUGACCUUGUGAUCCACCCACCUUGGCUUCCCAAAGUGCUAUGAUUACAGGCAUGAGCCACCACGUCCAGCUCUAAAGUUUCUCUUAAAUAAUUGAAUAAAUGAAUAACUGAAAAUACUGGCUGAUAGGUGAUAUGAUACAUGGAAAAAUGAUACUCAAUGAAUUUAAUGAAUUUUUGUCUGUAUUAUCUAAAUCUCUCUCUCUCUCUCUGUGUGUGUGUGUGUGUGUGUGUAUGUGUAUAAUAUACCUACUAGAUUGAUGCAAAAGUAAUUUUGUUUUUUGCCAUUACUUUUAAUGGCAAGAAGUGCCAUUACUUUUGUGCCAGUGUAAUACAUACAAGCAUACAUGAAUACAUAAAUACAUAUGCAAAAUAUGUGUGUAUUAUAUAUAUCCAUUUUUUUUCUAGAGUGGACAGUACUUUUAAAAAUUCUUGCCUGAUGGUAUAAAAAUGUGAAGUACAUGAACCCUGUGAGCCCUAAAUACCAGAAGAACACUGUGGUUUUGGCUGACAAAUUGGAGAUUGCUCAAGGUGUGUCCCGGGAGCAAAGGCUUCAUGGAAUGUUCUCCUUUGUCUGACCGAUUCCUGGUUGUCUCUCGGGCUCCAUGGUGGAGGUCACUCUCCUCUGUGCUAUGAUGUGGCAGCCACUGUUCAGGACUUGAUGUGCUUGUUGAUUUGUCUCUUUCAGGGGACUGUGCUCUCCGGGACUCUGUCACGGCUCUACUUUCUCCCGGCACCUAGUACAAUGCCUGGCAUGUAGCUGGAGCUCACUCUGUGUACAGAAUGCCCUGGAGCACAGGGGAGGUUUCAGAGACAUUCAGUCUGGCUCAGACCCCAGCUGCCACAGUAAUUGUCCUGUCACCCUGGACAGAGCCUCGGUGACUUCUUUAGUAAAAUAGGAAAAAUAGUAUCUGCUUCCAAGAGUCCUGGUGAAGGACAAAUAAAGACUGUACUGGGAAAUGCUUUUUUAUUUUUUAUUGUUUUUGAGAUAUAGUCCUGCACUGUUGCCCAGGCUGGAGUGCAUUGUCACAAUCUUGGCUCACAGCAACCUCCGUCUCCUGAGUUCACAUGAUUCUUCUACCUCUGCCUCCUGAGUAGCUGGGAUUACAGGCAUGUACCACCACACCUGGCGAUUUUUUUGUUGUUAUUAUUAGUAGAGACGAGGUUUCACUAUGUUGACCAGACUGAUCUCGAACUCAUGACCUUGUGAUCCGCCUGCUUCAGCCUCCCAAAGUGCUGGGAUUAUAGGCACGAGCCACUAUGCCUGGCCAGAAAUACUUUUAAAGGCUAUGUUAAUUAAAUUUUAUUUUAAUUUUAUUGGCUUCCCUAAUAUUUCUUCAAAGCAGGGACUAGGCCUUCCAAUUUAGCCCAUGAGGACUCAUCGGGGACACUGGAGUGCCUAUUCUCUGCUCGCCCCUCUGUGGCUCUUUCACUCAGUAACAUUUUCCUGGGUGUCUUGAUCUGUAAGUAGGGCUCUGAGCUGGUGCAGAUUUUGUGAAAGUCUAUCUCUCCUGUGGGUCAGUAACUCUGGAAAUCUAGACAACAGGUUAGCAUCUGUGACAAGUAAACAGAAAACACAUGAAGGGGACUUUACGUGACUUUUCUUCCCUGAUCAUUUUGAGAUGGAGUCUUGCUCUGUUGCCCAGGCUGGAGUGUUGUGGCACAGUCUUGGCUCACUGCAAUCUCCGCCUCCCAGGUUCAAGCAAUUCUCCUGCCUCAGCCUCCCGAGUUGCUGGAACUAUAGGCACGCACUGCCAUGCCCUAAUUUUUGUAUUGUUUAAAGUAGAGACGGGAUUUCACCAUAUUGGCCAGGCUGGCCUGGAACUCCUGACCUUGUGAUCCUCCCGCCUUGGCCUCCCAAAAUGCUGGGAUUACAGGUGUGAGCCACCGCACCUGGUCCCCUGAUCAUUUAACUGCAUUGUGCAGAGGGAAGUUGUGAGUCUGGAUCUUAAGUCUGGGGAGCUGACAAGGGCUUCAAAUGGACAAGUUUCAAUCUGAUUCUCAGUGUUAUGACACUUGCCAGAGAGGUUGCAUUGCUUGACUGAUGAGGGUUUUGCCAACGAUUUUUUUUUUUAUCUCCAAAAUUGUUAGCUUGCUUGUGACCUGGGGGCUCCAAGUACAGGUUUCACUCUCUUCUAGGAAAAUGGACCUUUUUCAAGAAAAUUAAUUUGCUUCUGAAAGCUCAUUUGGAUGCACAUAGUCUCUUUUGCUUGUUUUCUUCUGUUCCCUAAGCGGUUGCAAGGGGUCUUGCACUAAGGUACCCUCCAAACCUGUGAAUUAGGAAAUGAGGUGAAUGAGGUUGUAGUCAGAAAAUUGAAUAGGAAAGUUCAUGCUAGGUGGGAUUAGCUGUCUGUGGAAUAAAUCACAAGAUUAUUUGUGUGUAAAUAUUUGAGCAAAGAGAGGACACCCCAAACUCCAUUCAAAUGGACAGUAAGGAAUUUAUCGAAACAAGUAAAUGAAGCAUUAUAUCCAAAGCAUCUUGGACAUUGCUGGUGCAUUGGGGAUAUUGAGAAAGAGGUUGUUACCAAUAACACCAUCUUCAUUACUAAGGUUAUUAGGGUACAGUUUUAAGGAUUUGGGACCACUAGAUGUGACUGCAAUUUUGAUAAAGGACCGUCAACAUUUGUGGGAGCACUUGCCAUACAGUAGGCACUGGAAUAAAUGCUGGUGUGUGUGUAUUAACUCAAUGACACUGUGAGGUACUAUUCUUACGGCUAUUUUCCAGAAUAGGAAAGUCAGGCACAGAAACUAAGUCACAGAGAACAGUGGGGAGAUGUCAACGCACCAGAUCUCUCCCCAGAACUUGUGGCCUGACUCACUGACUACGUCAGCCUCCUCCCAAGGCAUAAAUCCAAUCAACUCUGGUUCAUUGUAUUAAGAAAGAUUAUCAAGACAAGAGAAAUGAUGAAUUUAGAGAGGAGGGCAGAGGAAAGAGAUUCAGACUGCCGAAAGUUUGGAGGCACCGCUAGAAGCUGCUUUCUGCAAUCAAAGGACUGUGUUGGUUAGUUAGUCUCAGCUAACAUUCAGCUAUAACUUUAAUUAAUUGAUUAAUUAAUUAUGGAGUCUGGCUCUGUCACCCAGACUGGAGUGCAGUGGUGCAAUCCUGGCUUACUGCACCCUCUGUCUCCAGAUUCAAGUAAUUCCCCUGCCUCAGCCUCACAAGUAGCUGGGACUACAAGCCUGACUAAUUUUUUUGUAUUUUAGUAGAGAUGGGGUUUCCUCGUGUUGCCCAGUCUGGUUGGGAACUCUUGAGCUCAGGCAAUCCACCUGCCUUGGCCUCCCAAAGUACUGGGAUUACAAGCGUGAGCCACUGGCCUUUAUUUUAUUUUAUUGAGACAGGCUCUUACUCUGUUACCCAGGUUGGGGUGCAGUGGCACGAUCUUGGCUCACUGCAAUCUCCAUCUCCCGGGUUCAAUUCUCAUGCCUCAGCCUCCUGAGUAGCUGGGACUACAGGCACCUGAUACCACGCCUGGCUAAUUUUUGUAUUUUGUGAGAGAUGAGGUUUCACCAUGUUGACCAGGCUAGUCUCAAACUUCUGACCUCAAGUGAUCUGCCGGCCUUGGCUUCCCAAAGUGCUGGGUGGGAUUAUAGGCGUAAGCCACUGGGCCCGGCCGAGUUGUAACUAAUAUUGUUUUAAUGAAUAUUUCUAUAUCAUUUGCAUAUGCUUUUUGUUAAUCUAUAUAAGUCACAUGAAUGCAUCAAUGGCUCAGAAUUUUGUGUGUGACUGUGUGAUAUAAUACAUUUAGAGAGGUGGUAUUAUAUCUUAAAUAUAAGGUAUAAACUUAUUUACACAUGUAAGAAAAACAGUAAAAUGGCCAGGCACUGUGGCUCACACCCAUAAUCCCAGCGCUUUGGGAGGCCGAGGCGCAUAGAUUACUUGAGCCAGGAGUUUGAGACCGGCCUGGCCAGCAUGGCAAAACACCAUCUCACCUGAAAAUACAAAAAUUAGCUGGCAUGGUGGUACCUUCCUGUAAUCCCAGCUACUUGGGAGGCUGAGACAUGAGAAUUACUUGAACCUGUAGGUGGAGGUUGCCCUGAGCUGAGAGCAUGCCACUGCACUCCAGCCUAGGCAACAGAGCGAGUCUCUGUCCCCCCAGAACCCCAAAGAACAAAACAGAAACAAAAAUCUGUAAAAUGAGUAGCUGAUAAUGAACACCUGGGAGAACAAGACCAUUACCAGUACUUUACAGGUGCUCACGCCCACCUUUCCCGGUGGUGCCCCUCUCUUCCUUACCUCCUUCCCUUAUCAUGUUCCUAACUUUUCUAUCUUUAAUUCCGUUUCCAUUCAUUUUAGCUUUACCACCUGCGUAUGUAUCACUACAUGGAUUAUUAUUUACUUUUACCUAUUUUUUUUACUUUCCAUAAAUGAAAUCACAAAUAUUUUCCUGUGACUGCUGCUUUUGUUCAAUAUGUUUUUGAGAUUUCAUCCUUGUUGCUGUACUUAGCUCUCAAACUCCUGGGCUCUUGAGUGUCAAAUCACAAAAUGCUUUCUCACAAAGAAUAAUUGGCACUUAACUAUACGCCUCCUCAUCUUGAUUUGGCAUUGAAAGAAAUACUGUGAAUUGUGACUAAGAACAAACUGUGGCUUCUGUGUGCACAUGUUUUCAACAUGCCGACUGGAGGAACAGGCAGUUAGGGCAACACCCUGCUUCUCCCCAGUAGGGGGCACUGUUUUGGGUGGGAAUGGUCCACUCUUGUCUUUAAAUAAGAAAUGAAAUUAAAAUAAAUGUUUUGCGUAAUGCUGUUUUUAACUUUAAUUCAUAAGUCUUAGUGUCUUGAAUGGUGUAAUUUAGGGGUCUAAGCUCUCACGUUAGGGACAAAAGCCUAAAUGCUGAACACUCAGGAGAUGAUAUCAGGAUUUCUUUAGUAGGCAAAAUGAUGGUGCAAAGAGUUUGAUUUCUGGGAAUUUGAUAGAUUA